UCGUUUUAUACUAAAUAUUUCAGAUUCAAUUAAAUAUUGAACUUUGCGAUAUAGUGAACACAAUAAAAUUAUGUUAGAAACGCAUAAUUAUUUAAAUAAUUUAUGUCUGCGGUGGGGCAAGAGUACAAUAUAACAUUACACAUAAUAUUUGACGUGGAACAGAAUAAAUAAAUACUAUGCUAUACAUUAAGGGUGUACAUUGUUUUAUUUAAAAUAAGCUUUCAGUAAAAAAAGUCUAAAUUUUUUAAAC